CAUGUUGAAAAUAACUACUUUCUCAGUUUCUAAUUUAAUAUUAAAUGUUGAUUUUUAAUGUUUUGAUUUGUCGAUUUAUAAACAAAUGUGUUACA